GUGGGGAAUCUUAGACAAUGGGGGCAACCCUGAUCUAGCCAUGCCGCGUGAUCGAUGAAGGCCUUAGGGUUGUAAAGAUCUUUCAGCUGGGAAGAUAAUGACGGUACCAGCAGAAGAAGCCCCGGCUAACUCCGUGCCAGCAGCCGCGGUAAUACGGAGGGGGCUAGCGUUGUUCGGAAUUACUGGGCGUAAAGCGCACGUAGGCGGAUUGGAAAGUUGGGGGUGAAAUCCCGGGGCUCAACCCCGGAACUGCCUUCAAAACUCCCAGUCUUGAGGUCGAGAGAGGUGAGUGGAAUUCCGAGUGUAGAGGUGAAAUUCGUAGAUAUUCGGAGGAACACCAGUGGCGAAGGCGGCUCACUGGCUCGAUACUGACGCUGAGGUGCGAAAGCGUGGGGAGCAAACAGGAUUAGAUACCCGUGUAGUCC
rnacentral:rRNA from 1 species